AGAGUUGAUCCUGGCUCAGAUUGAACGCUGGCGGCAGGCCUAACACAUGCAAGUCGAGCGGCAGCGGGAAAGUAGCUUGCUACUUUUGCCGGCGAGCGGCGGACGGGUGAGUAAUGCCUGGGAAAUUGCCCAAUCGAGGGGGAUAACAGUUGGAAACGACUGCUAAUACCGCAUACGCCCUACGGGGGAAAGCAGGGGACCUUCGAGCCUUGCGCGAUUGGAUAUGCCCAGGUGGGAUUAGCUAGUUGGUGAGGUAAUGGCUCACCAAGGCGACGAUCCCUAGCUGGUCUGAGAGGAUGAUCAGCCACACUGGAACUGAGACACGGUCCAGACUCCUACGGGAGGCAGCAGUGGGGAAUAUUGCACAAUGGGGGAAACCCUGAUGCAGCCAUGCCGCGUGUGUGAAGAAGGCCUUCGGGUUGUAAAGCACUUUCAGCGAGGAGGAAAGGUCAGUAGCUAAUAUCUGCUGGCUGUGACGUUACUCGCAGAAGAAGCACCGGCUAACUGCCGUGCCAGCAGCCGCGGUAAU
rnacentral:rRNA from 1 species